GAAAAGAACCAACAGGGAUUGCCCUAGUAACGGCGAGUGAAGCGGCAACAGCUCAAAUUUGAAAUCUGGCCCCUUCGGGGUCCGAGUUGUAAUUUGUAGAGGAUGCUUUUGGGCAGUCUUCCGGUCUAAGUUCCUUGGAACAGGACGUCAUAGAGGGUGAGAAUCCCGUAUGUGACCGGAAGGCACCCUCCGUAAAGCUCCUUCGACGAGUCGGGUUGUUUGGGAAUGCAGCCCUAAAUGGGAGGUAAAUUUCUUCUAAAGCUAAAUACCGGCCAGAGACCGAUAGCGCACAAGUAGAGUGAUCGAAAGAUGAAAAGCACUUUGGAAAGAGAGUUAAAAAGCACGUGAAAUUGUUGAAAGGGAAGCGCUUGCAAUCAGACUCGGCUUUGGCUGUUCAACCGACCUUCUGGUCGGCCCACUCAGUCAUCGCCGGGCCAGCAUCGGUUUCGGCGGCCGGAUAAAGGCCAUGGGAAUGUAGCUCCCUCGGGAGUGUUAUAGCCCGUGGUGUAAUACGGCCAGCCGGGACCGAGGUCCGCGCUUCGGCUAGGAUGCUGGCGUAAUGGUUGUAAGCGGCCCUCG
rnacentral:rRNA from 1 species